rnacentral:lncRNA from 1 species
AUGACCUCUUAAAGGUCUUACCUCUCAAUAGCUAGAUUAGUGAUUAAAUUUCCAACACUUGAACUUUGUGGGGACAUAUUUACCUUAUAGCAAGUGGAAACUAGAUAAAAUGAAGUUAGAGGUAUAUAGCCUCACUUAGAGUGAGCAACAUAUUCAGGCACUCGAAAUGAAGAGGAUAUCCAAAACCAAAUGUGAGAAGGUGCUGAAGUCCAGACAGCUCACUGACGCAUGCAAACCUGGCUGUAGGCUAGAGUUGCUAACAUGACAUCAGGGAAAUCUAGGGCUCCAAGCCUCAUGAACAAGAGGAGACCUAGCUGUGUCAAGUGGGGAGUGAAGAAGGGCUGCCCCACUGUGAAAUGGGGUCUAGGAAACCUUGCUACCGGCUACAUGAGAAUUUGACAUCUACUAUGGACUGUGGGAAGGAAAAAUGUUGCUAAAUAUAUUGGAACCCUAGGCUAUGUCACAAAUGAUGAUGGGGUCUCAGUUUACACUAGCUUUCGACUGAUUAGCUGAGAAGUGGCCUUUAAAAUGGUCCAGUUCUUAAAGAAUCAAAGUGAUCUUGUAAAAGGAAUCUUGAAAUAUUCAGUAGAGUUGCUUCUGUAACUCAGAGAACACAAACAAGACUUUAUUGGAAAAUUCAGUAUUAGCAAUCAUGUAAAGAACUGCACAAAUGAGAAGAUGUGUGCUUCCAGAGGUAUAAAUAUUAGAAAUGAUGCAAUCAGGGACUUGAAAACACACUUUGAAAGUGUUUAUAAAUGAGACAGAAUUUUAAUUUAAAGAUUUAUUUAUCUAUUUAUUUAUUUAUUAUUUAUUUGAAAGAGUUCGAGGCGGCAUCGACCCCAUGGGUGAAUGACCCCACCAGGCCUCCCCGCCGAGGGUCUCUGCACCUCUCAGUACUGUGUCCUGAGAGACCGAGCUCCCAGAACGUGAGCCUUUGUGGUGCAAAGCCUAGCGCGCAAAGUUCUAGGUUCUGCUGCGGAGGAUCGCUUGGGAGCAGGGCAGAGGCUGCCCGGCCCCCUCCCCUUUACCUGAUGCCUGCGGCUCCCUCCCGGGCCCGGCACAGCGUUUGAGAAAGAGGCUUGAGUCCAGCAUGCCCACGCCACAAGG